AGAGUUUGAUCAUGGCUCAGGACGAACGCUGGCGGCGUGCCUAAUACAUGCAAGUAGAACGCUGAAGACUGGUGCUUGCACUAGUCAGAUGAGUUGCGAACGGGUGAGUAACGCGUAGGUAACCUACCUCAUAGCGGGGGAUAACUAUUGGAAACGAUAGCUAAUACCGCAUGACAAUUAAGUACUCAUGUACUAAAUUUAAAAGGAGCAAUUGCUUCACUAUGAGAUGGACCUGCGUUGUAUUAGCUAGUUGGUGAGGUAACGGCUCACCAAGGCCACGAUACAUAGCCGACCUGAGAGGGUGAUCGGCCACACUGGGACUGAGACACGGCCCAGACUCCUACGGGAGGCAGCAGUAGGGAAUCUUCGGCAAUGGGGGCAACCCUGACCGAGCAACGCCGCGUGAGUGAAGAAGGUUUUCGGAUCGUAAAGCUCUGUUGUUAGAGAAGAACGGUAAUGGGAGUGGAAAAUCCAUUACGUGACGGUAACUAACCAGAAAGGGACGGCUAACUACGUGCCAGCAGCCGCGGUAAUACGUAGGUCUCGAGCGUUGUCCGGAUUUAUUGGGCGUAAAGCGAGCGCAGGCGGUUAUUUAAGUCUGAAGUUAAAGGCCGUGGCUCAACCAUGGUUCGCUUUGGAAACUGGAUAACUUGAGUGCAGAAGGGGAGAGUGGAAUUCCAUGUGUAGCGGUGAAAUGCGUAGAUAUAUGGAGGAACACCGGUGGCGAAAGCGGCUCUCUGGUCUGUAACUGACGCUGAGGCUCGAAAGCGUGGGGAGCAAACAGGAUUAGAUACCCUGGUAGUCC
rnacentral:rRNA from 1 species